AGUAAAUUAGCGCGGUUCAAGUCAAGUGUGGCGGCUUUUUAUUGCAAAAAAAUAAAAACGCAGGAAAUUACUCAGCUGCAAAAGUCGCAUGUUUUACGAGGGCUGCACAAUUUAUGGCCCCUAAAAUCAGCCAGGAGAGAGAGAGUUUUAAAUUAAAAUAUUUAACUUAGGCUUUAUUAACCAACUGAGGAUACCCAGAACGCACUCUUUAAAAAACAAACAAAACAAGUGAGCAAACAAAUCAAUAAAAUUAAGUUUUUGGCCAGCAACUCAAGUGUUCAUCGAUUUAUGGGCGGGAAAACGACUCAAGAAGCGGCGAAAAGCGAGAAGAGAGCGACUUGAGUGCUUUUACGCGGCCAUAAAGCACUCACAUUCCAUCAUUAUCGGCUGGGCUUUGGAAUUCAAAUUCGUAUAUGGGUCAUUCCACUGGGAAUAGGCUGCCAAAGAGUGGGAGAGCCCCGAGCCAGGCAGAGAGGCGGUGAGUCAAUUAUAUAAUCGGCUAUUGAAAUUCCGUCUCUGCCUUGUGCUGUUGUUUAAAUUACAGCCGACACCUCAUCAAAACGACUGUUUCUCCACCCACGCGUGGCUGCAUGCAAUGCAUUUUAAUUCGGAUGCCGGUUUUCGGAUACGGAAUCCAGAGGAUGCGAGCGCGGAGCUCGCGGAGCGAUUUUGUAGCCCAGUGUUAAGCCGGCGAUCCCGUAAGCUCGCCUUUUGAGCCAAAAGCUUUGCCUUUUGCCCUUUCCAGCUGCCACCGCUGGCCGACAGAUGGCUCUCCGCUCUUAACCCUCUAAAUACCUGUGCCGAAGCACUGAGAGAAUGGGAGGGGAAUUUUAUAUAGAGUGCUUAAAUUUAAACACUUUUCAUUGAAAUCUACCGAUUAUAUUGUUUACAAAUGUGUUUAGGUAUUAAACAAAAAUAUUUUUAAGAUGUACACGAAAGCGUAAUUACUUUUACGAUAAGGUACCUUAUAAUCUCAGCGCAAUACAUUAAAAGUGUAAUUUAAAAUUAA